rnacentral:lncRNA from 1 species
GGUGUAUGAUGUUGAACUCAUUAAAGUAAAAUAAAAACUUGCUUGGAAACCUUGGCAAGAUUGAAUACAUUCAUAAUUUUAAGUUUGUUUAGGUAUAUUCUAGCUCCCCUGUACUGAUGGGGAGUUUUCUUGCUUUAUUGUUUGGGACAUUUUGUGUACCUACCUAGCUAAUUGUUAGUUAUCUUGACUUUUACUAGUUACUAUUACGGAUCAAGCAGCAGCUUUAUUCAACAAUUAUAUUAUUCAAAUAAUUCAAAAUUCAAUACACGAAUCUCUUAGAAUUCAAAUGUUACUAAUUGUCAAAUUCUGAUUGGCUAAAACAUAAGUUGUAUAUAAUAAGUACUUUUCUAACUUAAUACCUAAAACUAUCGAGGGUUGUCCACUCGCUUGUCUCAACCUCUCUACACCCAUGGAGAAACCCGCCGAAGAGGUAAUCUUCUUAUUAUUCAGUCUAUAAGGCCAGGGGCAUCGGCGCUUCUUCUCUUCGUCCCUGACUAAAUUCGAUUUAAAUUUAAAUCACAAAUGCAUUUUAAGAGAAGAAACGUUCCUUCAAACGGGUCGUCGUUAGCUCGUCCUUCCUUCCACGUGUCCUAUUAUCAUUGGUUAUGCUUUAUUGAAGGGAUUACGUAGCAACGGAGCCACGACGGCGUCAGGAGGGAGAGAAGUCCCGAACUCAACCGUUGAAGCUGAGUCUGAGUCACGGUCAACGAGGCAGUACGAGAACGACGUCGUGUUGAGCUGCGACGGAAGAGCUAGCAAACCGGCUGCGCCGACGAACAACCAUUCGUUGCUGUGUACGCAUCCAACGGCAACGUUUUGGACCGAAGUUGAGCUGAUUGUGAGUGUCUCGGUGGCGAAAUCUCCGACGGUAUAAGAACCGUCACCGUAAAAAACCUCGAAGAAGAAGAUGAAGAAGAAUGCGAAAUGAGAAAGAAGAAGAUGAAGAAGAGUAAGGAACGGUGAGAAACACCAAUGCUCGUGUUUGCAAUGCCAACAUUUGUCCCAACCAAAAAAAAUUGAUAAAAAAAUAAAGGGACAAAAAAAUGGGUCCUUGCAAUGCCCAUGCCCUAACCCUUUGUUUCUCAAUUUGUGGUUUCUUCACAAGUAUAUAUGCAUCAAAUAUACUUCAAGUUUGUAGAUUUCUGAUUAGAUCUUUUGUACUUUUAGGGACUGCAUAAAUUGUUGCCAAAAGUCAAGUAAAUUGAAUCGAUAUUUGUCUUCGUUUUUUAAAAUCUUUUUUUUUUUUUUUCUUUUUGGUUCAUGUAAAAGAAAGAUGCAUAUGUAAUAAGUUCUUGUGUAAUAAUUGCAGUGACAUUGGGAGGGUUACUGUUUCGGGAUAUGACACAUGGCUGACUCCUCGUGAUGAUGUCGAGAGGGCGUUUAGAAAACAUUUCACUUCAUGUGGUCGAGAGAUCACAGAUGUUUAUGUUUUCAAUAGGUUUUGUCGCUUUUUCAUGCUUCAUUUUUUGAAGUUAAAUGAUUAACUAAAGAAUGAACUAAAGAAAUUAAACACUUGUUACUACAUGCAGAUUUGCUUAUAUAUAUUUUCUGGGAGAAGGCGCAGUCGAUAAAGGCCUUGCAACUUAAUGGAAGUGAUGUGGGAGGAUAAAAUGUCUCUGACAAGAUUCAAUAUCAACUUUCUUUUACCAGUGGCAGUGAGAACUGUACGAUUUUCAACAGUAGGAGAUGUGAUUUUCAUCUUCCGUCAUGAACCGAACCUCUUAAACUAUGUAUGAUCGUGGUGGCAUUGAGGUUCUUGAUUUUGGACUGAUUACUUUUAGCUACUUGUUCUUGUAAAUGUUGUGCCAAGAUGGCAGUUCCUUUCCCGGUGUUUAUGCUGCUAAGAGGCAUCAACCGUAUCUGUCAAACCGAACUCUGUUGGGUCAGUGUUGGAGUAUUAAGUGACUGGAAAUCCCGGCAACAAAAGUCAACUCCUCAUCACAACAUGUUAGCCAUUGUUUGCUCUGUACUUUUAGAUAGAAAAUAAGCAGUUUCAGUCAGACAAUCACAGGUUUUGCUCGAUCAAAGUACCCUCGCUGGUUCUCCAUCACCCAACUUCAACCAGCUGGUGGUGAUCCAUGUAUUGAUCUGCGGAGAGUGACAUCAUAAUAAGUAUCCAAAUUUGAGGCAGCAAACGUUGAACAUGUUUUUACAAAACAAUUCUGAACAGUAUAUAUAAUUUGCAUUAAUAGCAAACAAUCUAAAGUGAGCAUGCUAUAUAUAUAUAUAUAUGAUUACUUUUAUUAUAAAAUGCAUCUUCCAACAUAUAGCUAAAGGAAGAGUGCUCAUGCAAAUAGUGAUGUCAAAGAAUCAGCAGAUCUAUUUUUCUUUACCUAUCCAUUAAGCACAGACAGUUGAUCCUGCAAUGAAAAUAUCUGUUUUCAUUGCAGUUUUAAAGCUCGGUAUGCCUUUCUCUUCAACCACGUUGAUAUUUUUCCUUGUGAACUCUUGCAAUUAUCCACCCCUUCUGCUCAAAACUACUGCAUAUUUUCUUGCUACCACAGCUCAAAAGCUCAUAACGUAAUUGACAGUACCAGUCAUUGAAAUUGACCUGUGACAUUGAAACUGAAGCACACCAGUCAUUGGUAAUUCAUAAUUAAGCAGGAAAAAUCUCCUUGACUAAAGAAGACUAUUAAAUUAUGAUUUCAUGUCAUAGGUUCCUGAUAGCUUUUGCAGAUUCCAUUCAGCAGUUUGAUCCCUUAACUACCACCAAUGUCAGUAGCUAACCUCAAAACAUUAACGCUGGAUCGUGUUAUAUUGAUGUUUAUAGUUUUCAAGCUGCAUCCUCAUUAUCUUCUUGGUCAAGAUUGGUCAUGUGCACUUCAACUAGAACACUCUCUCCAUAUUCUCUAGGCAAUGCCACACGAUGGCUGUCUUCCAUUUUGAAAGGGAAACCACUCGGAGUUUCUUCUACCUUUAUUCAUUCACACAAGUAGGAGAACAAAUAACAUUAACAGUGGGAACAGAGAGCUUCACGAAACCUAUAUGAUUUUUUAAUUGGAAACACAGAGAAAUUCUAAACACGAAAACAUGAAAAGGGUAAUAAUGGUUCAAGUCAAUUCCCCCCCCCCCAACGGUUCGGAAGCUUUGGGCUUGGUCCAGGACAGAACUAAGUCUAAGGCCCAAUCGUUUGUUGUGAAAAUAUAUACGAAAUGAUAGCCCAAUCCAAUAAUGACUAGAAAAGGCAAAAAAAAAAAAAAAAAAAAAAAAAUAACAACUAUAAAAUACCCUCUUCAGACCUAAUUUUAACCCUAAAAUUGUCAAGGGUUGUCGCCUCUCGCUCGUCUCAACCGCUCUACCUACACCCAUGGACGACUCCGCCGACGAGGUAAUCUUCUUAUUAUUAUUCAGUCUAGAACCCUUUGUUUCUCAAUUUGUGGUUUCUUCACAAGUAUAUAUGCAUCAAAUAUACUUCAAGUUUGUAGGGUUUCUGAUUAGAGAUUUUUUUGUACUUUUAGGGGCUGCAUACAUUGUUGCCAAAAGUCAGGUAAAUUGAAUCGAUAUUUGUCUCUUUUUUUGGGUAUAUGUAAAAGAAAGAUGAUAUAAUAUUAUCAAAUAAUGACAGUGACAUUGGGAGGGUUACUGUUAGGGGAUUUGACACUAGGCUGACUCCUCAUGAAGAUGUCGAGAGGGCGCUGAGAAAACAUUUCACUUCAUGUGGAGAGAUCACGGAUGUUUAUGUUCUCAACAGGUUUUGUGGCUUCUUCUUCCUCCAUUAUUACUUUCCAGCGGAGCUCAUUGAUGUUUAGCUAAAGAAAACACUUGUUGUUGUUUUUGUUGCUAAAUGCAUGCAGUCGAGCUCAUAUAUAUCUUGUGGGGAAAGACGUAGUCCCUAAGGCCUUGCAGCUUAAUGGAAGUGAUUUGGGAGGAUGGAUUGUCUCUGUUAAGCCUUUUCCGUUUUCUGAAAAUCCAAACGAGUAAAAACACUGCCUUUUUAAUUAAUUUUCGUUUGAAGCUUUUAAUAUGCAUGUGAAUUGAUAAUAUAUAUCAUCUCGUGAAAAAUCCUGUUACUUAUUGCAGUAACGUUGUGGUAAAAGUUGAAGGAUAUGACACUUCCCUUAGUGAGAUUGAUAUCCAGAGCGCUUUGUGUAAGCUGUUCUCUUCAUACGGAACGAUCAAGGAACUCCUUUUUAGCCAAGGGUUUGUCGUGUCUUCUUCCUCCCAUUUUUCCUAAUUCUUAAGCUAUCAGUCACUCUAUCUAAUGACCUGUCUUUUCUUGAUUUUUACAGCCAUGCACUGGCUAAUAUAUGUGGUAAAGACAUUGCUGAUAAGGCGCCUGAACUUGAUGGGAGCGACAUGGGAGGACGCAAAAUAGCUGUUCGAGUGCUUUAUAGACCGAGAAUACACACUACCCACAUGCGCCGCUGCUACGACGAUCAACCUCCUUUUCUCCCACCAAGAACUGCAGUUAUUUCCGAUACCUCUACCAGUGAUGCAGCCAUUACACAAAGCAGGUAAGUUGAUUGAAAAGUGUGUACCAUGGUUCUUCCAAACCUUUUCCUGUCUUUUAAAUUGCUGUGCUUUUUCUUUUGGUAUUAUUGCAGGACUGAAAGCUCCAAGACUCCAGGUAAAUCUGUUGAGAAGAAAAGGAAGUUAAGUGAGGAACAGGUUACAACCACAUUAAAGAGUAAGGCUAUUCCUAGUAGUGUUGAGAAGCAAACACCUGAUAUAGCUGGGCUCGUUGUUGACGAUAUAUGCUUGGGAAGCGGCAAGAAAGCUGAUCCUGGAAAAAUGGUAUGUGCGCAUUUAUGUCCUAAACUUUCAAGACAUAUCUUAUCAUCACAUGAUUACUACAAUGUCAUAUAGUCUAUUGUACAAGGUGGCAGUCUGGUGAAGAAUAUGGGUAUUUAUAGAAUUGGUGGUGGAUAGGAAGCAAACAAACUAACGCCUUACUGAGACCUAAGCGCAUGAAAGAAUUAUUUGGGAUAGGAACUGAACAAACAAACUAUUAAGUUGUGGUGAAUACUAGAUAAUAUUGUCAUUGGGUCUAUCACAGUGCGUUAAUGUAGUGUGGUUGUAACUUCCAAAAUAUUUGUUGGAGCUCAUUCUAUCUUCUCUGAGUGCAGGUAGUAGUCCAUUAUACUGGAAAGCUGCAGGAAAAUGGGAAGAUUUUCUAUUCUACAAAAAGAAAAUUCCCUUAUCAGUUUCGUCUAGGUUGGUAUAACAUUAGAUGCGAAAAUAAGGGUUUUACUAGUCUGUGACUGUUACUUGGAUGCUUAUAUGCUAUUCGUUGCUAAUUACAUGCAGGUGUUGGAAAUGUCCUUCCGGGAUUGGAUUUUGGCGUUACUGGUAACCUGAUUUCUUAUUAGUUUUUCUUCACUAUAUAUAUGUUUGAAUGUGCAUCAUGUUGUUUUGAUAAAUCAUGGUAAAUUUUGAAGGCAUGUGUGUUGGUGGCAAAAGAAAGCUCACAAUUCCUCCAGCAUUGAGGUAAAGCCUUCUUUUCAAAUCAUUUUGAUUUAUCUAAUUACCGAUGUUUUUAUGCAACCUUUUGUACGUAAUGAAAUGAUGAUAAUACUUUGUCUGGCUCACAGGCAUUGUGCGGAAGGUUAUGGUGACAAUAUUCCUCCUGACGCUUGGGUGGUGAUUGAUGUUGAACUGAUUAAAGUAAAAUAAAAACUUGCUUGGGAACCUUGUUGAAUACAUGCAUAAUUAAGUUUAGCUUCCCUUUACUGAUGGGUAGUUUUUAUUUUUAUUGUUUACGACCUUUUGUGUACCUAGCUGACUUACUGUUAUUCACAUUCACGUUCUUUGGCUUUUUUAUUUAUCAAGGCGUCCCCAUAAGUCAACGUUGCCGUUUCCGUAAAAAGUGUGGGAAUUUAGACUGUUUAUUCUUUUUCUUUGUUAAGGAUUUCUCACAAACUAUUAGUGGUUUAGGCAGGUUUGUAGUUGUAUAGUGAAAUUAUCCCAUACUCAAUCAACUGAUUUGGUAUCUUUAGCAUAUAGACAUAACAUCUAUAAAUUACUUAAUUUGGUUUGAUCAGUUUACUCUUUCGCUUCCUCUCUCAUGGUCUCACGCACAGUUCCUUCUUUGUCCCCGAACUCUU